UAGAGAGAUAGGAAUCGAACCU
rnacentral:tRNA from 1 species